rnacentral:rRNA from 1 species
AUUGAACGCUGGCGGCAGGCCUAACACAUGCAAGUCGAGCGAACCUAGCUUGCUAGGUGAGCGGCGAACGGGUGAGUAACACGUAGGAAUCUGCCCGAUAGUGGGGGACAACGUCUCGAAGGGGACGCUAAUACCGCAUACGCCCUACGGGGGAAAGCAGGGGAUCUUCGGACCUUGCGCUAUCGGAUGGGCCUGCGUCGGAUUAGCUAGUUGGGGGGGGAAAGGCCUACCAAGGCGACGAUCCGGAGCUGGUCUGAGAGGAUCAGCAGCCACACCGGAACUGAGACACGGUCCGGACUCCGCCGGGAUGCAGCAGUUGGGGAUAUUGGACAAUGGGGGCAACCCUGAUCCAGCCAUGCCGCGUGUGUGAAGAAGGCCUUCGGGUUGUAAAGCACUUUAAGCUGGGAGGAAGGUUCGCUGGCUAAUAUCCAGCGGAAUUGACGUUACCAGCAGAAUAAGCACCGGCUAACUACGUGCCAGCCGCCGCAGUAACAC